UGAACGCUGGCGGAGGCUUACACAUGCAAGUCGAGCGGUAACAUUUCUAGCUUGCUAGAAGAUGACGAGCGGCGGACGGGUGAGUAACGCGUAGGAAUCUGCCUAGUAGUGGGGGACAACAUGUGGAAACGCAUGCUAAUACCGCAUACGCCCUACGGGGGAAAGGAGGGGAUCUUCGGACCUUUCGCUAUUAGAUGAGCCUGCGUGAGAUUAGCUAGUUGGUGGGGUAAAGGCCUACCAAGGCGACGAUCUCUAGCUGGUCUGAGAGGAUGAUCAGCCACACUGGGACUGAGACACGGCCCAGACUCCUACGGGAGGCAGCAGUGGGGAAUAUUGGACAAUGGGCGCAAGCCUGAUCCAGCCAUGCCGCGUGUGUGAAGAAGGCCUUAGGGUUGUAAAGCACUUUCAGGAGUGAGGAAGGGCGUAUAGUUAAUACCUGUAUGUUUUGACGUUAACUCCAGAAGAAGCACCGGCUAACUCUGUGCCAGCAGCCGCGGUAAUACAGAGGGUGCGAGCGUUAAUCGGAAUUACUGGGCGUAUAGCGCGCG
rnacentral:rRNA from 1 species